UAUUCUCAAGCUGCUGCAGAACUCGACUGCCAUUGAAAUGUGCAAAAGAAAAAUUUCCUGGCAUCUUAAAAAAAAUGUCGAAGUCAGUUACUCCACAAGGCCCUGUUUGUAAGAGUCCUUGAAAAGAGAAGCAUCAGUUUUCCAAUAUGAAGUAAAUGGAGGAGUCUGGAGUUGCUUCUGUUGGCCAUCAAUUUCCUGUGGUGCAGAGGGGCUACAAAUAUAAUACAGAUUAAACUCCCUGCAGGAAGUCUCUUAUGGAUAAGAACAAGUUCAGGCUUCCCAUUGGGGAUGACAGAGCUGGUGCUCAGGUCAUCAACAUCCUGCUGAACCUAUGAGAAAGCAUUUGGGACAACUUGACAAUGCAUGGUGAGUCAGAAAGUUUGCUUUUUGAUUCAACUAUUUAAAAUUCCCUAUUAUUUUCUUUGUUUUUGGCUGCCUUUUGCUUAAUUGUCUUGUCAGCUGUCCUAAGCCUGACAGCCAUAUGAGGUCAAGCAGAAAAACUGAACUGGGGAAAUAAUCAUAGUUCUUCAAUGGAUUGUUUCUGAAAACUGAAUAUGAGGAGAGAAUAUUCAUAGGUAUGGCAUAACUUCCAUUUUGUAGCUGGAAGAAAUCAUACCCCCAAAUUAUGACAAUUUAUAGAAUUAUGAGUUGAAUGUUUGUGUAAGUAUAUGCCUUCAUAUUUUUAAACAUGUAUAGGCUGCAUUAUUUUCUGCCAAUAAAUUUUAUGG
rnacentral:lncRNA from 1 species